AUCCAGCUGACGAGUCCAAAUACGACGAAAAGCACGUCCUGGAU
rfam:Schistosoma curassoni strain Dakar, Senegal genome assembly, scaffold: SCTD_scaffold0001788